UGGGAAUCUUGCGCAAUGGGCGAAAGCCUGACGCAGCCAUGCCGCGUGAAUGAUGAAGGUCUUAGGAUUGUAAAAUUCUUUCACCGGGGACGAUAAUGACGGUACCCGGAGAAGAAGCCCCGGCUAACUUCGUGCCAGCAGCCGCGGUAAUACGAAGGGGGCUAGCGUUGCUCGGAAUUACUGGGCGUAAAGGGAGCGUAGGCGGACAUUUAAGUCAGGGGUGAAAUCCCGGGGCUCAACCUCGGAAUUGCCUUUGAUACUGGGUGUCUUGAGUGUGAGAGAGGUAUGUGGAACUCCGAGUGUAGAGGUGAAAUUCGUAGAUAUUCGGAAGAACACCAGUGGCGAAGGCGACAUACUGGCUCAUUACUGACGCUGAGGCUCGAAAGCGUGGGGAGCAAACAGGAUUAGAUACCCUGGUAGUCCACGCCGUAAAACGAUGAUUGCUAGUUGUCGGGAUGCAUGCAUUUCGGUGACGCAGCUAACGCAUUAAGCAAUCCGCCUGGGGAGUACGGUCGCAAGAUUAAAACUCAAAGGAAUUGACGGGGUCAUAGCUGUUUCC
rnacentral:rRNA from 1 species